rnacentral:rRNA from 1 species
CUGCUCCUAGUACGAGAGGACCGGAGUGGACAGACCUCUAGUGUGCCAGUUGUUCCGCCAGGAGCAUCGCUGGGUAGCCAUGUCUGGCAGAGAUAACCGCUGAAAGCAUCUAAGUGGGAAACUCGCCCUAAGAUUAGAUCCCUGACCCGUAAGGGUGUAAGACCCCAGGUAGACUACCUGGUAUAUAGGCAGUAUGUGUAAGCACAGUAAUGUGUUAAGCUAAACUGUACUAAUGGUUGAUUCGCUUCCUUCC